UUGAAACACCAGUUCCCAUACAAUCACCAAAGUUAAACAACAUUGAGCUUGUUAAGUACCUAAAUAAGUGACCACUUUGGAAUAUCAGGUGCUGUAAG